rnacentral:piRNA from 1 species
UAUUAUUUUGCCAUGUUUAUUGUUUUUCAGG